AUUGAACGCUGGCGGCAGGCCUAACACAUGCAAGUCGAACGAGAGGCGGACGGGCGAGUAAUGUCUGGGAAACUGCCUGACGGAGGGGGAUAAAUACUGGAAACGGUAGCUAAUACCGCAUACCAUCGGAUGUGCCCAGAUGGGAUUAGCUAGUAGGUGGGGUAAAGGCUCACCUAGGCGACGAUCCCUAGCUGGUCUGAGAGGAUGACAAGCCACACUGGAACUGAGACACGGUCCAGACUCCUACGGGAGGCAGCAGUGGGGAAGAUUGCGCAAUGGGCGAAAGCCUGAUGCAGCCAUGCCGCGUGUAUGAAGAAGGCCUUCGGGUUGUAAAGCACUUUCAGCGGGGAGGCGUUACCCGCAGAAGAAGCACCGGCUAACUCCGUGCCAGCAGCCGCGGUAAUAC
rnacentral:rRNA from 1 species